rnacentral:tRNA from 1 species
GAGGGUAUAGCUCAGUGGUAGACUGCCUGCCUAGCAUGCAUGAGGUCCUGGGUUCAAUCCCCAGUACCUCUA